ACUCUCUCACGCGAGAGGCACGCAGUGCGGGAAUCUUUGCACAAUGGNGGAAACCCUGAUCGCAGCCGAUNCCGCUGUGAGUGAUAGAAGGCCUUAUGGGUUGUAAAGNCUCCUUUCGUCGGGGAAGAAAAAUGACCUGUACCCGCANAAAGAAAGCNCCCGGCUAACUCC
rnacentral:rRNA from 1 species